UAUGAUAUGUCGUAAUGUGACCUUAUUACCUCCAUCCAGGUGAUGAACUCCUACAUUAGUGCUUUUGCGCCGCUUUCCUCGAGGUUCCUCGAUGUUCUGUGAGAAGUCAUCAAGACGCGUCACGGUAAUCGUUGACGUGAAUGUCGAGCAAUUAUCAAUAGCUGAGUAAAGUCGAUGCAUUAUCCGAAGCUUCUGAAAAUCGGCCCAAGUGGUAAAUAAUGUAGGACACCAGCGGAUGCCGGGACCUGCAAGCGGGUGCCACAGCUUCAGUGUUUCCUUCUCACGGUGAAAUAGGUUGAAGUCGUUUUACCAUUGGAAACAAAAAAACUUAUGUCGCCC
rnacentral:lncRNA from 1 species